GAUGAAGAACGUAGCGAAAUGCGAUAAGUAGUGUGAAUUGCAGAAUUCAGUGAAUCAUCGAAUCUUUGAACGCACAUUGCGGCCAUAGGUAUUCCUUUGGCCAUGCCUGUUCGAGCGUCAUUUACACCCUCAAGCCUAGCUUGGUGUUGGGCGCCUGUCCCGCCGUUUUCGCGCGCGGACUCGCCUCAAAGUCAUUGGCGGCGGUCGUGCCGGCCCCCUCGCGCAGCACAUUUGCGCUUCUCGGAGGCCCGGCGGAUCCGCGCUCCAGCAAGACCUUUCACGACUUGACCUCGGAUCAGGUAGGGAUACCCGCUGAACUUAAGCAUAUCAAUAAGCGGAGG
rnacentral:misc_RNA from 1 species